rnacentral:pre_miRNA from 11 species
GAAACGAAUCCGUAAAGCUCAGGAGGGAUAGCGCCUAUUUACUACAUAUGUCAUGUAUUAUACCAAUCAAAGGCGCUAUCUAUCUUGAGCCUCACGGCUUCUUUUU